CAGGUCAUAGGAAGAAGCAGGCCACUGCAGAGACUAAGCAACUACUAGCAGCGGACCCUCAACAAAGAGAGUUGCUACAGCACACCCAGCCACAAGGAGGCACCAGCAGUUGUUAACCAAAACAAUUAAUCAGAUCAAUUGGAGAAGCUUAUGGUGGAGAAAAGUGGAGAUUAGUCUUAUUCCAUUAAAUGGAGUUCCAAUCCUCCCUUGCCAACUUUAUUUGUAGAACCCCAAUAAGAAAAGAGCUGUGAAUGAAAUUCCCAUCAAUAACACAGAAAGUUAACAGACGAGUCCCCUCAAAGGAUUUAUAAGAACAGACAUUAUGUGCAAAGGAAAUCAUCAUGCAGGGACUGCACCAAGAUAAAACUAAUGGAGACUAUAAAGGGCAUCUAUUUACAAGGAACUUUGCAAAAAGCAGCCAUUUUCUCUGUCUUUAAUUGCAGAGAAAUUAAGCAGUGAUUUUUAAAAUUCGAUGAUAGCAAGUAUUAUUCAUUUACUUUUCUGUUUAACUCUUGAUCUUAGAGUUUACACCCCGUAAGGAUGUAAUGAUGCAACACAGUUUUAAGCUUAAAAAUGUUGUGUUCUCCUUUCAAUGGAGAAGUGCUAUUUAGUAUUAACCCUCAUGUAUAGUGUUGAGUAUAAACUGUUUCCUAUUACUUGCACUGCAAGUAUGUCAGAUUAAUGACAGGAUGUGCAUUUUAUAGCAGAAUGUCAGCCUCAAAUAUUUGUGUAAUUGUAAUCACUACAAAAGCAUCUUUCCACAAGGAAUAGUAGUUUCCAACAUCUGUGUAAACUGUGAGACCACAUAGUGAAAGCUAUUACUACAUGCGACUGAAUUGGGAGAUUUUGAUGACUUCUGUACAACGUAGCAGCACACAAGCCAGUUUGUAUUAAGGAUUUUAAAGUGGGGUUCUUAUGCUGGAAUGUGACUCUGAAAAUUGUAAUGUAGAGUUCUAUGGUUGUAUCUCAAUUACGUCAGAUAAAGGCCAAAAUUUUCAGAAGCAGCUGCUAAUUCUAAGUGCAAUUUCUGGUCUCAAAAACUGAGGCUGAGGUUGAUUUGCACCCAAGAUGAGAUGCAGGUACUCUGCUCCUCUGAAAAUCAAGCCAAAACAGUCUCAAGUUUGUCACUCAGAACUUGAGACUCU